rnacentral:rRNA from 1 species
UACAGAGGUCCCAAGCGUUGUUCGGAUUCACUGGGCGUAAAGCGUCUGUAGGUGGUUUAAUAAGUCAACUGUUAAAUCUUGAGGCUCAACCUCAAAAUCGCAGUCGAAACUAUUAGGCUAGAGUAUAGUAGGGGUAAAGGGAAUUUCCAGUGGAGCGGUGAAAUGCGUAGAGAUUGGAAAGAACACCGAUGGCGAAGGCACUUUACUGGGCUAUUACUAACACUCAGAGACGAAAGCUAGGGUAGCAAAUGGG